UCCAAACAAAGGGAAAGUAAUUAGGAAGGUGUGGUUUGCAGAUUUUUGUGGGGGGUUUUGUUUGUUUUUUGUUUUUGUUUUGUUUUGAUUUGUUCUUAACAAAUCUGGGCUCUGUUAUUAAUAGCCAGGACGAGGAAUUUGGAAACGUGAUCAGAUUUAAUAAGUUUAUGGAUGCCCCUGACCCCCCACACUUUCAAAGUGGACUUCCCACCUCUUGUCACGUCCCCGAAACCACAGAAAUGUUGGUACAGAGUUCCUGUCCUUUACAGAUUAUUUUUCAGGUGGAAAAAAUCUGUGAUUGUGCCUUCCACCAUUAAAUAUUGUCCCAAGUGCCCACCAGACAUUAAAUAAAUAUUAAUUUGGGUAAGGAUAUCUGUGCAAAUGCUUCUUUUCCACUGGAUGCCAAGACGUGAUGAGGAGCUCCAAUUAUUCUUGAAUAUAAACCUAAACUUGCAGAGACCCGAUGGAUCCUUUGGAAGAGAAAGCCACUCUUGACGUCAUUGUUAAGUGGCCUCAUAAAAGUCUGUGCCAAAAGAGAGAAGAAUCUCAACACUCAACACCAAACCGGGGAGUUGUCCAUUUGCCCGCAUUUGUACUUGGUCAGCCCUGGCUCACAUUCACUUCAGGAGCCAAACAGACAAUAACAAAAACCCCUACCGCUGUCGGUCAAGAUCACACGCGGCUUAUCAACCAAACCUGGGCACGUGUUCCUCCCUCUUCCCCAAAAAGCAUUCGCAGUAAACCUCCACGCAGACAAAAAGCCUCCGUGUCCCCACUGCUUUCGUGUGCUGUGGCAGGAAGCAGUCGUCGGCUGCGUUCGUGGAAAAUAACAACUGCAGACACAUGCCAUAAUGUUCCAGUGGAAAUCAAACUCUGAGAAAUUUUUUAAAUGUUUUCAACACAUCAGCAUGAAGCAUCGACCUAGUUGGAAUCACUUAGAUCUAAAGCGAAUGCACUGAUUGUUUUCACAGCAGGCUUUUCUUCUCGGAGCUGAGACGGGCGCACUGGCGCGGGUGGCGCGGAAAGGUUUCCAGCCCCCUGCCUCGGUCUGCUAUAGCCUGUGACUCGAUCAAUACCGGGGUGAGCCGCAGAGGAAGCUCAGGGAAGAUUAUGAAGAUGAGGUUUUGUAACAGAAUCAUUUCCCAGACCACCACGGACAGCCCAAUCAUAACAGAAGCCAGUAUAAGGAAACGCGCAGCCAGCCCAGACCCUGAGGCCUGUGCAUCAAGAUGGCAGGCUGGCCAAGGGUCCUCUGGGGACAGCAGUGCCAGAAGGAGGAUUGGACACGGUGACCCGUCUGCCUGAGAUGAGGGGGGAAAAAAAACAACAUCAACCAGGAGCUCUGUAAUACUGAUGAACUAAUCUGUCACUCACAAGCUCGGGUCUGCAAAAAAGAAAACUGCAGUAAACAUUUAAUGACCAUGA